rnacentral:rRNA from 1 species
GACGAACGCUGGCGGCGUGCUUAACACAUGCAAGUCGAACGGCAAGGCCCUGCUUUUGUGGGGUGCUCGAGUGGCGAACGGGUGAGUAACACGUGAGUAACCUGCCCUUGACUUUGGGAUAACUUCAGGAAACUGGGGCUAAUACCGGCUAGGAGCUCCUGCUGCAUGGUGGGGGCUGGACAGUUUCGGCGGGUGGGGAGGGACUCGCGGCUUAUCAGCUUGUUGGUGGGGUAGUGGCUUACCAAGGCUUUGACGGGUAGCCGGCCUGGGAGGGUGACCGGCGACAUUGGUACUGAGAGACGGCCCAGACUCCUACGGGAGGCAGCAGUGGGGAAUAUUGCACAAUGGGCGGAAGCCUGAUGCAGCAACGCCGCGUGCGGGAUGACGGCCUUCGGGGUGUAAACCGCUUGCGCCUGUGACGAAGCGUGAGUGACGGUAAUGGGUAAAGAAGCACCGGCUAACUACGUG